GCCUGCCUCACCACACCCCAGUGCCGACAUAGCUCGCCCGGGGCACAUCACUUAUGCGACAUGUUGUGCUGUGAGGAUUUGUGAGGCGCACCCUUGUGCCGAGCGUGCCUUGUGGAUGGGCCUGUGCCCUGCCCCAUGGGCGAAGGCAAAGAGGGUUUACGCACACGAGGCCUGGAAGUGGCCCGACAGCCCUAGUGGUUUAUGGGCCCCAGUUGAGCUGAGUUUGGUAAUGGGCGCUUAUUGGGCUGGGUUUGUUAAUUGGCUCUUAUUGGGCCAGGUAGUGUAAUGGGCUGAGGAACUUUUAAAAAUGAUUCGAUGGACCCAAUGGGUCGAAUUGAAAUUUGUAGACCAAAAUUUGGUUAUGUUUUACAUUACGUUUAAAAUAACAAAGAAAGAUUUGAAAUUCAUUUGAUCAUUGUCACUGAUGGGUGAUUGAAUAUGAUUAUUAUUCACUCCUUAUGAUUGGUGCUGCCUUUUCCUUUGACGAGAGUAGAUCGCGACUAAUUGUAGGGAUUACAGUGACAAAGUAAUGUCAUUGUCAUGACAAAGUAAUGUCAUUGUCAUAGUAUCUGAUCAGACUACUGUAUACUGAAUUAAAUUGUUUUCCAUUCACAAUAGUAGUUGGUAAUCUCCUCUGCCCUCCAUGAUAUAAGUUUAAAUGUGUUCGCUCGAAAAUUUGUAAAUGGUGAAACUAAAUCAAGGAACAUGAUUG
rnacentral:lncRNA from 1 species